rnacentral:lncRNA from 1 species
AGUUUUCUAGCAGAAACCUUUUUGCAAUUUUCUUAUUGGGUUUUUUUUUCUUUUCACAGGCGGAUGUAGUUGAUACCUUAAAUUCAAUGGAUUUAUUUUACCCAAAUCGUUUAACAUUGAAACAAAAUGUAUCUUGUGGUACUAGUCUAUCAACUGAAGAAGUGAUUAAAGAUCUUGAUUUAUUAGAUUGGAAAGAAUGUACAUUAAGGUCUAUUGAAACCAUUAGCUCUUCUGGCUCAGUUGAAGUCACUACUAGAUUCAACUCUACUACUACUACUCCUCCUCCUUAUUACAAUCACAGAAAUCGACGUGGUCAGUUUAAUAGUGUUAAGACCAAUAAUGGUAAUGGUGGUGUUGGUGUGAAGAAAACAGGACAAAGGAGUGGAAAAAGGAAGAAGAUGUCUUUGACAGUAUUAUCUUCUGCUGCUCCUGCUGUUGCUGCUGCUCCUUCAUCUGGUUCAUCUCCUAGUACGAAUGAUAGUGGUGAUUCAUCUUAUUGGUUGUGUAAUCAAUAAUGAAAUCCACACAUUAAUUGUGGAUUUUGGAAGAGAAUAGAAACAAAUUCUUUGUUUACUUUUGAGGUUGAUGAUAUUGUUUGCUUGUUGAAUUAGAAGUUGGAAGAAGUUUGCUUGUUGAAUUAGAUAUUUAGAUCUGAGAUUAAUGGAAGAGAGAAGAUGAAGAGAGAAGAGAAGAGAGAAGAGAUAUGAGAUUAAUGGGCGGACCAUAGAUAUUUUUUAAUCCCAAGCACAUAAGACCAUAAUAAAUAACUAAAUAAGGCUAAAGACAGGGGUAAUAUAGUAAUUAACUAAUAAUUAACGAGCUGCUCGGCUCGGCUCGGGCUCGUGACGAGCUCAAAAACUGGCUCGAACUCGGCUCGUUUAGAUAAAUAAGCGAGCCGAGCCCGAGCCGCUCGGCUCAAAUUGCACCCCUAAUUCUACCUUGUAUUUUUUAUAUAAGAGAACUAGUAGCUAAGGUUUAGGUAGUUUUUUAUUGAGAGAGGAAAGUGAAUAUUUGUGAGAGAAAGUUCAUCUUCUUCUUCUUUGUAUCAACUCAAUUCAAAUUAACAUGAAUCCAUAAUUUUUCAUUAUGAUGUCUUGUGAUUUAUUUAUUUAUUCCUUGGUGUCAUCAUCAAGGAUGAGUAGCUAAAUCUCCUUAGGGGAUGGUUGAAGCACUCUAGAUAAUGCGAAAGCACCAUAUUUGUUCUUAAUGUCCAUUGUGAUUCAAAGUACUUAAUGCUUAUUUACUUCUAUCUGCAGUAGGAGGUAAGUAUGAUUAUUUGCAUGUUAUUGUUAUCCAUGUUAUUAAAAUACUAUUGUUAGGGGUUUAGGGAGACCUAGCUUUAAUGAUUUUAUUUAUAUUGAUUAAAGAUGUGUAGUGAAAUAGAUGAGAGGUGAUUAUUACAUAUCUGCAGUUGAUAUCUUUUAUUGGAACCCUUUUGUAAUUAAGUCAAAUAGUUGAGAGGUGACGGUUUGAUUAAUAAGACAUAUUCAAUAGCAUGCAUAAGAGAAUCUCGUUUUAAUUGAGUGGAAUAGCUGAGAGGUGACUACUUGAUUAUUAUAGGUAUUAAUGAUUAAUUGGAAUAGCUGAGAGGUGACUAAUUAAUUGUUAUAGAUUGAACAUGAAGGAACAACAUGUUAUUGCAUGAUUUAGUUUGUGGAUACCAUUUUCCCCCUUUGUCAUCAUAAAUCUUCUUUUCAUCUCUACCAUAUUCUUAAGUUAGUUUAUUUAAUUAUUGUCUGUAGGAAGUAUAAUCAAUCUCAAAUCUUGUUUAUCGAUUCCCUUUGUGUUUCUUAACAAUUAUUUUCUAUUGUGUUUGAGUUAAGAUCUCCCUCUCUGAGGUGGGUACGACCCUUGCUUGUUACUUGUCUAGUUUGAUAACCAAUUUAUACAGGGACAAGAAGGAACAUCAAUAAAAAUCUAAUCCUUUGAUAGGUCUCCAUGGAGACACCAAUUUUCAUCUAUCACCGGUCACUGGCAAGAAAGCCUCCAUCCUCUAUUUCAUCUUUGCUUGAGAAAGCAGAAACGUACGCUCAGGAAGAGGACGAUCUGAAAGGUAGGAGAAAGAGAUUUGUCGGAGGCCAAACCUCCGAAAAGCCACAGAAGGUAAAGGAAGAGAGCUCCGGCAGGGAUCGCUGAUCGGACCUCAAAAGUGUAUAUUUAUCCCCCGAAUAACACCUUGUUUGUCUAGCACUUAGCUUAUAUUAUUGUAUUAUAUCUAUUGAUUAGUGCAUUCUUGUCUUUAUGUAGGUUUUAUGAGUCGAAAUGCGAAUAUUGUGUAAAAGCCCGCAAAAAGUCGAGAAAAGCAAGCAAAGAGGUGUUAUUUGAUAUUUGCAGAAGGGAAAAAAGAAAGGAUAUUUGCACCCGUGAAAUCUGCUAAGGGCACCUUACGAUCAACUCUGGUCAACUAAGUUGAGUUGACUUCGGGUCAACUGUUGUUGACCUAGGUUGACUUUCGGUCAACUGUUGACUUCUUAUGACUUUGGGUAAAUCAUGUUGACUUAUGUGGACCGGACUUCCUAUUUUGGGUCUUGAUCUUAAAAAGGCUCUACAAGGAGAACCAGAAGUCCGAUUGGGGCCCAUGACAUAUCAAACUGAAGGUCUUGGCCCAAGCUACAAUUCUAGCCCAAGAGGAUUAGGUUUCGCUGAUUGCCUAAUCCCUCUAGGAGGCCAACAGCAUCAGCUACGAAUUUGAUCAAGUUUGGAAGUCUUUCCAUGCAAGUAUUCCAUUAUGUAAUGAUAUAUAAGAGAAGUUGUAACUAGGGUUUAUCUAUCUAGAAUCUCUUUUAGAUCUUGAUCUUCUAGCCUCCACUUGAAGAUCAACUUUUGUAUUCAAUUCAAUCAAUAUCAAUCCAUGAAUUCUUUUAUGAUGUUCUUUGAUUUAAUUAUUUGUUCUUUUGGUAUGAGUAGCUAAAUCAUCAUGGGGGGAAGGUGAAAGCUUUCUAGGUGAUGUAAAAGUAUUAUGUUGUUUCUUCUUAUUCAUUGUGAUUCAAGGUUCUUAAUGCUUACUUAUCUCUAAUUCGCGAUAUGAGGUGAGUAUGGUUAUUUGUAUGCUAUUGUUAUCCAUGGUGUUAAAUAUUAUUGUUAGAAUUUAGGGAGACCUAGUUUUGAUAAUAGUAUUAUAUUUAUUGUAGAUGUGUAGUGAAAUAGUUGAGAGGUGAUUACUGCAUGUUUGUAAUAUUUAUCUUUUAUUGGAACCCUCUCAUGAUUAAAUUCAAUAGCUGAGAGGUGAGGAUUUAAUUGUGAAUAAUAUAUGGAGUUAAUUAGAUUCAAUAGCUGAAAGGUGAGGAUUUGAUUAAUGAAGCAUAUUCAAUAGCAUGCAUAAUAGAAUCCCGUUUUAAUUAGAUUCAAUAGUUGAGAGGUGAGGAUUUGAUUAUUAUUGGUAUUAAUAACUAAUAAGAAUAGCUGAGAGGUGACUUGUUAGUUGUUAUAGAUUGAAUAUGAAGAACAACAUGAUAUAAUUGCAUAACCUAGAUUGUGGAAACCUACUACUCCUCCUA